AGGAUGAACGCUAGCGGGAGGCUUAAUACAUGCAAGUCGAGCGGCAAGCAGUAGCAAUACUGCCUAGAGCGGCGUACGGGUGAGUAACACGUAUGUAAUCUGCCCCUGUCCGGGGGAUAGCCCUCCGAAAGGAGGAUUAAUACCCCAUAACACUAUGAAACGGCAUCGUUUUAUAUUUAAAGCCCCGGCGGACAGGGAUGAACAUGCGUCCCAUUAGCUUGUUGGCAAGGUAACGGCUCACCAAGGCGACGAUGGGUAGCUGGUCUGAGAGGAUGAUCAGCCACACGGGCACUGAGAUACGGGCCCGACUCCUACGGGAGGCAGCAGUAGGGAAUAUUGGGCAAUGGACGAAAGUCUGACCCAGCCAUCCCGCGUGAAGGAUGAAGGAUCUAUGGUUCGUAAACUUCUUUUAUUGGGGAAGAAAAGUCUCGUUCUCGAGAACUGACGGUACCCAAUGAAUAAGCACCGGCUAACUCCGUGCCAGCAGCCGC
rnacentral:rRNA from 1 species